AUAUAGUGUAACAAAGUGUGGGUCUAUGUGGUACUUUGCAGUAAAAUGUGUUUUCUUCUGGUGUUAAUGAUGAAUCACCAGAAACAACAGGUGGGUGUUUGUCUGAGACAGAUGAAGCAACCACAGGGCUUCUGAGACAUGUUGGCAGUUUCUAAGAAAUCUUUUCAUGAUCUUCUUCUUUUAACACACAUCCUGAAUACUGACAGCACUUUUAUAAGCUUCACUCUGCACUGAUGACCUCUGUAUGUGUUUUAUUGUGCAGGCUGUGAUCCAGCUACGGUCUAUUUAUCAGUGAGAGCAGACAACAUCAGUUGUCGACCAACAGACAUCAGACCAAACAGGCCCAGAGAGUGCGAUCCAGCUACAAUCUACUCAUCAGUGAGAAGAGACAAGCUCACUCAUGGACAAAGAGACAUCAGACCAAACAGGCACAGAGAGUUUCCAUCUGACCAAAAUGGCAUCUACCCAUGAAGUAAUCCACCAGUCCAACCACUGGAAUCCAGCUGCUGGUCCACACAGGCGCUCAGACUAGAUUUUUAUAUAUUCUGUUUGAUCUUCUCAUUAAACAUAUUCAUAUAACACAUAUUAUAACUAAUAUUUGAAUGUAAUGUAAUGCAGUGUAUGGAAAACAAUCAGUAACUUGCAGGACGGUGCUGCCCUCCCCACAGCAAUGAUCUCUGCAGAUCUCUGUAAGAAACUUUGGUCUCACUUGUUCUUCUUGUGUGGUUCUCUGGGUUUCACAAAUAUCACUGAAGAAAAAUGUGAGUCGUUGUGGCUGAUUAAGAUCUGAAUAAAACCAUAACCACAGAUUAAAAGCAGCAUGAGCAUCACUGGAAACUUUUAAAACUUAAAGAGUUUUAAGAGAUAAAGAGAAAAAUCUCAGUUCAUAUGGUCCAGCCGAGCUUUAAAAGAAAUGACUGUGUGUUUAUCAAUGUAAAAUCUGCAGUGUUUAUGUGUUUAUGUACAGGGGAGCAGGAGCAGUAUCACUAAGUUACUGUAAAAGUAUCUUUAAGUCAAUCACAAUGAUGAUAAUAAUAUUAAUAAUAACUUUAUUUAUAAAGCGCUUUCAAGCAAAGUGCUGUACAGCUAUUUGGUAAUAAAAACAUAAAUAAAUAAAAGUGAUACAUAGCAAUACAAGUUAAAAACACAAUACAAGUUAAAAACAAUAAGAAUUUAAAAACUAAAUGGCAUAGAAUUAAGACAUGUAGGGUAGGGUGAACAAGCGGGUCUUCAACUUAGCUUUAAAAACCUUCACAGAGCAUGCAUGCCUAAUAUCUUGAGGGAUGUUGUUCCACAAAAGUGGGGCAUGAAAAGAAAAAGCACACUCUCCAAUGGUCUUUUUUCUGAUUUUAGAAACACUGUGUUGAAUAAAAGUUUUGAGUUAUGCUUAUGAUGAGAUUUGAGAAAUAAUUUGUUUUGUCUGUUGGGGCCACCGUAGGGUCCAGCAAAUCAGAUUAAAUAUGUACACACACUCAUGUUUAUGUCAGUGUAUCAUCAAAAGUACAAAAUAUAAACCUGGAUGUUUAGGAAGAGGGAGACGUUUUAGGAGCGACAGCGAGAGAGAGAGAGAGCUGUUCU